UCAGCAGUCCGCUCAGCCGAGGCAGCUCUGUUCAUGGCAUUCUCCAAGCUCUUGGAGCAAGCCGGAGGCGUGGGCCUCUUCCAGACCCUGCAGGUGCUCACCUUCAUCCUCCCCUGCCUCAUGAUACCUUCCCAGAUGCUCCUGGAGAACUUCUCAGCCGCCAUCCCAGGCCACCGAUGCUGGACACACAUGCUGGACAAUGGCUCUGCGGUUCCCACAAACAUGACCCCCAAGGCCCUUCUGACCAUCUCCAUCCCGCCAGGCCCCAACCAGGGGCCCCACCAGUGCCGCCGCUUCCGCCAGCCACAGUGGCAGCUCUUGGACCCCAAUGCCACGGCCACCAGCUGGAGCGAAGCUGACACGGAGCCGUGUGUGGACGGCUGGGUCUAUGACCGCAGCGUCUUCACCUCCACCAUCGUGGCCAAGGUUUGGGAGGAAGCCGAUGCUGAGCUGGUGCUGCCUGCAGUUGGCCGUGGCGGGCACCAGCACCAUCUUCGCCCCAACAUUCGUCAUCUACUGCGGCCUGCGGUUCGUGGCCGCUUUUGGGAUGGCCGGCAUCUUUCUGAGUUCACUGACACUGAUGGUGGAGUGGACCACGACCAGCAGGAGGGCGGUCACCAUGACGGUGGUGGGAUGUGCCUUCAGCGCAGGCCAGGCGGCGCUGGGCGGCCUGGCCUUUGCCCUGCGGGACUGGAGGACUCUCCAGCUGGCAGCAUCAGUGCCCUUCUUUGCCAUCUCCCUGAUAUCCUGGUGCUGAUGUCCAGCGUGAAGGAGGAGGUGGCCUCUGCAAAGGAGCCGCGGUCGGUGCUGGACCUGUUCUGCAUGCCCGUGCUCCGCUGGAGGAGCUGCGCCAUGCUGGUGGUGAAGUACGCCGUCCUGGUGUCCCUCCCCAAG
rnacentral:sRNA from 1 species